rnacentral:tRNA from 1 species
UUCUGCUUGGCGCAACGGUAGCGCGUCUGACUUCUAAUCAGAAGGUUGCGGGUUCGAGUCCCGCAGUGGAAA